AUUGAACGCUGGCGGCAGGCCUAACACAUGCAAGUCGAGCGGAUGACGGGAGCUUGCUCCUGGAUUCAGCGGCGGACGGGUGAGUAAUGCCUAGGAAUCUGCCUGGUAGUGGGGGACAACGUUUCGAAAGGAACGCUAAUACCGCAUACGUCCUACGGGAGAAAGCAGGGGACCUUCGGGCCUGGCGCUAUCAGAUGAGCCUAGGCCGGAUUAGCUUGUUGGUGAGGUAAUGGCCCACCAAGGCGACGAUCCGUAACUGGUCUGAGAGGAUGAUCAGUCACACUGGAACUGAGACACGGUCCAGACUCCUACGGGAGGCAGCAGUGGGGAAUAUUGGACAAUGGGCGAAAGCCUGAUCCAGCCAUGCCGCGUGUGUGAAGAAGGUCUUCGGAUUGUAAAGCACUUUAAGUUGGGAGGAAGGGUUGUAGAUUAAUACUCUGCAAUUUUGACGUUACCGACAGAAUAAGCACCGGCUAACUCUGUGCCAGCAGCCGCGGUAAGAC
rnacentral:rRNA from 1 species